rnacentral:misc_RNA from 1 species
AUCUCUCAACCUAUUAGAUUGCAAAAUCGAACUAGUGUUGGAUUUGGAGGCUUGCUGGCCUAGUCAGCUCCUCUUAAAUGCAUUAGCUAUGGAUCGCGCAGUUAUUAGAUCUACGGUGUGAUACAUGUCUUACCAAUGGAUCGAAAACUAUAAUCACCGCUUCGGCAGUGUAUACUUUACUGUAUACCGUGUGAUGAGUGAAUACAAAGCUUCUAAUCGUCUGUAAUGGACAACUACUUUGAC